CGUGAGGUCUGUGGUGGCCUAAAGUGACUGUGGGGUCUUGACCCUCAGGUCUUACAAGAGUCAGAUAUACUGCGAGACCAGCUUCCCAACCAGAAAUAACUUCAGAGAAACGGGGCCAGGCUUCCGGAGUCACAGGACUAAGAGAGACUGAGCCAGCUAUUUCAGGAGGUCUUCAUAGCAACAGGCACAAAAACGGAAGACUGAAAAGAGAGAGUGUUCUUUCUAGACAUAAAACUCUCAAACCGAAAACCCUGGGGCUAUCUCAGCAUCAACUCUUGGUGAGGCGCUGCUGUUUCUCAGGUUCUCAAGGCAUCUCUUACAAAUGUAGAGAAAGCCCUGGCUAUGCGCCACGUCUCAUUUCCUUGCAGAAACCCCUUCUCUCUGAAAUGCAGUGGAAUGGAUAAGCUGGCGCACAAAGAACGCGAAUGUAAGCGGAAUAGGGUCAGUGCUGACAUCAAGGAACAAAGAAAAGGCCAGAGGGGUUCAGAAGGAGAGCAACUGAUUCUGGAAAGAGACAUCAGAAUGUGGAAGCCUUCCCGGAUGGAAGGGAAUUUCAACUGGACUGGGAACGAUGGAAAGGAUUUUGAAGGCAGAGAUAGAGGAGGAACAUCUCUAACUGAGAAAACAGUUUGAACAGACUUGUACAGGAAAAAAAAUAAAUCGUCUUCCACAUUUGGCAAAAACACUAGGAAUUGAGUUGGUUGGCAGGUAGGAUACAUGAAGGAGUCAGUGGGAGCUGAGGAUAAGAUUAUUUCACAUGAUAUGUACUUUGCCAUUUAUAAACAGAAUUUGGGUUCAAGUCUGUAGUCCCAGCUACCCAGAGGCUGAGGGAAGAGGAUUGCUUGAGCCUAGAAGUUCGAGACCCACCUGGGCAACAGAGCCAGACCCCAUUUCUUAAAGAAAAAGAUCUUGGGUUCAAUAUGUCCUUUUGUUCAACAACCCUGUGAAGUAGGCAGAGGAAAUAGGAUUAUUUCCUGUAAUGGAUCAGGUAACCUGGUUACAGGGCAGUUAAUUCAUCCUAAGUGACACAGGCUGUAAGUGAGAAAACCAGCACCAAAUUUCAUACUAAUUUUACUACAUUAAGUUUCAUCGCUGGAAAUAAAGAAGAAGUUUGCAGGGCCAAGCUAGUUGAAGCUUACCUUGGACAAAGAAUCAAAGUUUGUUGUUUUUUUUCUUUCUUUCUUUUUUUUUCUUAAGAGGUGGGUGGGGGUGUUGACAAGGAGGAAAGGGAGGAACCCACGAACGUAAUUUCAGCAACAGUUCCCUUAACAACGCCUGCAGAUGGAUGAAUUUCCGCACAGUCUGGUUCUCUGUUCCUUUUCUGUUCCUGAAGAGAAACAAUGAGGGAGUGAGGGAUACACAGUGAUGUUUAUCUUUCCAGCUCUGGACUUUCAAAUUCUGGAAUCCCCCAGGGUUGGGGAAGGGCGGGUGUAGUCACUUCCCACCGUUGCAGAGGGAUGGGAGAUGUAGCAACUCCUGUCGGGGCAUGGGGCGGGGUGUGUGAUUUCCUCCCAAAUCGGAAAUUUAUCUCCCGAAUGGGAGGCUGCAGAGAGUCAUCAAGGACUUAUCUCUAGGAGCAGACACCAGAGAGGAGCCCUGCCCAAUCCUUUACCCCAAAGUGGGUGUGCUUAGCUCGAGGAGGGAGAAGAGGGUUGCCAGCUAAGAGUCAGCACCAAAGGCGCCUGCUCUCAUGCAUGUGUCAAUGAAGAAUUCCUGCCAGACUUCCAGUACUGUCCCCGACCCUGGGCAGAAUCCCAGCUGCCCCUCCCAGAACGCUCCAUGCCGCUGGAACUCAGGAGCGCAGCUCAGUUCUGUAAUCGAAAGCAAAGGAGAGUUUUGGUCCUUUCCUUGGAUUGAGUCCAAAAUUCAGGGAUGAACAGCUCAGCUCCUAGAAAUUACGCUCUGGAAUUUCCAAAAGCUCAACAAAUAGCCCCAACAUGCAGGGUUGUUUGUUGAGAUGAAGCAUCCUUUUACUACCCUUAGAACAUUACAACAGGAAGGAAGUCCCAUCCCUUUUUUAUAGAUGAGGAAACUGCAGGUUAGAGAGACUAAAUAUAUAUUAAAUCAAGCAUAUUAAUUAUAGUAUUUAAAUUUUCUAAGUCCUUAUUUUAUUUUAAAUCUGACUUAUUAGACCUAAAGGUAGGUAAAUCUUCCUCUCCUACUGUCUUCCCCCUCAUGUAUAUUUCCAAAGUUUUUUUUUUAACCUAUAUUUAUACAAGUAAUUAGCUUCCAUUCAUUUGUUUCAUCAUCUAUAAAAUGGAAAUGAUCUUUGCCUCACAGAUGCAUGAAUAUUAAAGUACAUAAGAUAAUACGUGUAAGGCAUUUAAAGCAGUUUGCAAACACUCAAUAAGUGUUAUCACAAGAGAAGAAAAUUUCCACUUAAAACUUCUUCCACUUUCUCUGCCUGUCUGCAUCCCAGGUUUUUGGUAUAGUCUGGGACUUUUGACAAAGUUUAAUGCUCAUUACCACACUGAUGUACUUUUUUUCUCUAAGAAUUAUUUAACAUCUGCAUUAUUUUGAUACUGUAUUCAUAAUACUUAUUUCAUCUUAGUUCUAAGUUUAAAUUAUUUCAGUGCUGAUCAUCUGUCCUAUCAUAAUACAGUCUUCUAUUAUAGACUUAUUUAUUUUGAUGUAUAGAUCAACUGCAUAGUUUUUUUUUUUUUUAGAUGGAGUCUCGCUGUCACCCAGGCUGGAGUGCAGUGCUGCGAUCUCGGCCGACUGCAAGCUCCGCCUCCCAGGUUCACGCCAUUCUCCUGCCUCAGCCUCCCGAGGAGUAGCUGGGACUACAGGCACCUGCCACCAUGCCCAGCUGAUUUUUUGUAUUUUUAGUAGAGACAGGGUUUCACCGUGUUAGCCAGGAUGGUCUCGAUCUCCUGACCUCGUGAUCCACCCACCUUGGCCUCCCAUAGUGCUGGGAUUAUACAGGCAUGAGCCACUGCGCCCGGCCAAUUGCAUAAUAUUUUUAAGAAAAGGUACAGCAGAGGCAUAUUGAGACCUUACAGAUACCUUAAAGUGUCUUUCUGUUGCUUUAAAUAAUGAAAAAUAGAUGACUUCUUGGGUUUUGAAGUCUUGCUUUCCAAACUU
rnacentral:lncRNA from 1 species